CGAACGCCACAAGUUUCCAUGAGAUUCCUUUGGUCCAGAACUGGCUUCUUGAACAUCCCAGGCCGCCCGUCCCAUCUUCUCUACUUCUGACAGAUGAGCAAGCUGCGCUGUUGAUCCAGGCUUUCUGGAGAGGGUACAAGAUUCGUGCACGUCCAGAUGUGCAAGAGUU